ensembl:lncRNA
GAAACUCCACUGGCUCUGGGGUCCGGCUUCACCCCCUUAUAUAUUGGUUCGGGGGAGCCUCAGGGCCCUCAUCUGUGACACAGGAUCCCAGUUUCCACUUCCCAGAGCUGAGCCCAUCGGUCCAGUGAGCAUGAUCUAUGGGGGGCAGUAUACAAGACAGGGGCCGGGACAGUCUAGGAAGAAGAGAACCGUGCUCGGAAGCCCCCACCCACUUCCCCAUCUGCUGCAGCAAGAGAUGAAGGGAAGGGAAAAUGGCAGAAGAGCAGCAGGCAGAGAACGUGCCGAGGAGGGUGGCCUGGCUGCAGAGCCCUCCCCUUGCUCACGGCAGCCGGCGUGACUCAUCCCGGGCCUCCAGCCCAGCGGCGUCCCUGGCAGCGUCCACCGAUGCUGCAAUCAACAUUGAUUUUGCAGUCACCCACACACCCAAGUCGAGACCAGAUUUAUGCCAGGAGAGGAGUAAAGAAUGCCUCUCUCAUUCACGUAAUGCCUCCAUGUAUCUCCGGAGGGGAGGGACAGCUGGGGAAACAUUCAGCCCAAGAGUGUACACACACAGACAGGAGACGCAUGCGGCUGUCCACGCAAGUCAUCGUCAGCGGCAGUGCCUUGCCAGCUCUCUCCUUAGUCACCUCACGACCCGCACUGUCAUGUGGUUUCCAGCCUCCUGUGCAGGACUCCAGGGCCAGCUGAGGCGCCCCGCCAGCCCCGAGGCCAGGACGACCCGGGGCCAAACCAGAAACCCCGUGAUGCUGUCUGCAACCGCUUGGCCUUCCUCCUCGCGCUCAGCCCUGGCCAAGGUGCCCACGGCCUCCCCGAGCCCUCCCCCGGCCAGGGGGGCCAGGCUCCCACAGAGAAGGGAGGUCUAG